rnacentral:rRNA from 1 species
AGCGGCGAACGGGUGAGUAACACGUAGGUGAUCUGCCCAUCAGACGGGGACAACGAUUGGAAACGAUCGCUAAUACCGGAUAGGACGAAAGUUUAAAGGUGCUUCUGGCACCGCUGAUGGAUGAGCCUGCGGCGCAUUAGCUAGUUGGUAGGGUAAAGGCCUACCAAGGCGACGAUGCGUAGCCGACCUGAGAGGGUAACGGCCACACUGGGAUUGAGACACGGCCCAGACUCCUACGGGAGGCAGCAGUAGGGAAUCUUCGGCAAUGGGCGAAAGCCUGACCGAGCAACGCCGCGUGAAUGAUGAAGGCCUUCGGGUUGUAAAAUUCUGUUAUAAGGGAAGAACGACUUUAGUAGGAAAUGGCUAGAGUGUGACGGUACCUUAUGAGAAAGCCACGGCUAACUACGUGCCAGCAGCCGCGGUAAUACGUAGGUGGCGAGCGUUAUCCGGAAUUAUUGGGCGUAAAGAGCGCGCAGGUGGUUGAUUAAGUCUGAUGUGAAAGCCCACGGCUUAACCGUGGAGGGUCAUUGGAAACUGGUCGACUUGAGUGCAGAAGAGGGAAGUGGAAUUCCAUGUGUAGCGGUGAAAUGCGUAGAGAUAUGGAGGAACACCAGUGGCGAAGGCGGCUUCCUGGUCUGUAACUGACACUGAGGCGCGAAAGCGUGGGGAGCAAACAGGAUUAGAUACCCUGGUAGUCCACGCCGUAAACGAUGAGUGCUAAGUGU